rnacentral:ncRNA from 1 species
GUUUGUAUUGCGUGGGAAAUAGUUGCGGAAAAGAAAUCCACGGCACUGGUCGAUGAUGUGAAACAGGGGGUUCCAAGCAAACAUCGCCAGUGUGGCGCCGCCCAGCGCAUUUGCAACGAACAUUUUCCCCGAAAAUAUCAUGUUCAGCCGUCG